rnacentral:rRNA from 1 species
UACGUAGGGAGCAAGCGUUGUCCGGAAUCAUUGGGCGUAAAGCGCGCGUAGGUGGCCCCAUAAGUCCGCUGUGAAAGUCAAAGGCUCAACCUUUGAAAGCCGGUGGAUACUGUGGGACUAGAGUACGGAAGAGGCGAGUGGAAUUCCUGGUGUAGCGGUGGAAUGCGCAGAUAUCAGGCGGAACACCAAUAGCGAAGGCAGCUCGCUGGGACGUUACUGACACUGAGGCGCGAAAGCGUGGGGAGCGAACAGG